GCGCCGGUGGUGUAAGGCGAACAUCGCUGCCCGGAAAGCAGAAGAUGCGCGUUCGAGUCCCGCCUGGCGCA
rfam:Heligmosomoides polygyrus genome assembly, scaffold: HPBE_contig0000047